rnacentral:rRNA from 1 species
UACGUAGGGUGCAAGCGUUAAUCGGAAUUACUGGGCGUAAAGCGUGCGCAGGCGGUUUUGUAAGUCUGUCGUGAAAUCCCCGGGCUCAACCUGGGAAUUGGCGAUGGAGACUGCAAGGCUAGAAUCUGGCAGAGGGGGGGUAGAAUUCCACGUGUAGCAGUGAAAUGCGUAGAGAUGUGGAGGAACACCGGAUGGCGAAGGCGGCA